UUUAGGUCCAUCCGUAUACGUCUUUAGUCAUGCCUAAAGUGGGUGUGGUUAGCGGUGUGGUAAACCGCUCUUUUAUUACCUCAUCUGUAUGCGCCUCUAGUAAGUCACAUGGUUAAUGGCGAAGCCCCAUUGUCUUACACUGACCUGCUUUCCCUAGAAUAAAGUGACAUCUCAGGGUUUCGGGUCCCACAUGGAGAUCUCCCAAGACUCCCAUGGCAAUCAUGAGGGUUGGGAGUGUGAAGACACAAGGGCUGGCAGCAGGUGGUAUCCAGCCUUCAGAUGGAGGAGUUUUACCUUCCAGGAACAUCGCCUCAGGAUUUAGUCCCAGGAUGUUUGCAUCAGGUUAUUCAGGGAGCCAGUGACCAAUCCCCACAGGGAAUUUGCAGCAGUAAAGGUUAGACUUUGGGCAGUACCGACAAUUCAUGGUUGUGAAGAAGAGAGGAAACAGGGGUCUCUGCUGCAGAUGGCAAGGGGUUUAGGUUAACGUGAGCAGGAAGUGAGGGAGAAAGCAAGCCUGUGUCAGUCAGACAGGGAGAAACGGGUCCUGAGCUUCCAGGAGAUGAGAGAAUUAGGCCUCAGGUGGGGAGGUUCCAGCCGGAGCAGGGGCCACCUGGAAACACCAUCUGAACAAUUUAAAUGUGAUUCUUUAGGGCAGAGAGUGGCACAUGGUAGGGAGGCGAGGGGUACAAGGAUGUGUAUCCUGGCUGGAGGCCAACUGAGGAUCUUCCCAACAGUGUCAAGGGCAGGACAGAGCAAAGCGGUGACCCACAGCCUACCCACGGCUGUGUGUAGACCAGCGCGUACAGCCACUGACUUUUCCACGUCUCGAGGUCUCUUCAUCGUCUUGUCCCCAGGCGUAUACGCUGGAGAGUUCCCUAGCCAUGGUCCUUGGGGUCUUUACAGGGCUUCAGUGCAGUCUAUCAGAAGGGGAAACUGAGGUAUUAUUUUGUAAGGAGCCUGUGGGAGGACAUGCUCUGGGGUAGUUGUGGAGUAAGAUGCCGGUGUCCACAGACUGGAGUGGUUCCUAAGCUGGGGUGUUGUCCUUCGUCUUGUGAAGUGAGGAGGGUGGGUGGGCGGUAUGCAGGAGAAGUCUGUGGACAACCAUUUUCAUCUCGGCUCUGUAGGUGCAGGCUGGGGGAGGUAGUGGGAGGAAGACUUGAUCUGGAGUUUGCAGUGACUACAACUUUCCUGCAGAUCACUGCUACAUGGGCAACUAGAGGAGAGGUAAGGAUCCCCCAGGUUGAGAAAGGCAGAGGCCUAAUCCUUCAUCUCGGUGAGAAAGAGACAAGGAGAAAAGAGACAAAAAGUGGAAAGGAGGAGUCACUCUGGGCAGGCAGGCUGCAAGGUACUGGUGAUGCCCGCACACUGCUUUGUGCCACUGAUUUAUUUGGAUGGUUUGUUUUUUAAUUUUAUUUUGAGAUGGGUCAGUCUUAAGCUCUCAUGUCUCCGUGGUAAGAGUGCCUUUCCUAGAAAAGACAUUGUGAGACAGUCAGUACUGGGACAGUAGAAGACUGUCUAUCGCAGGUGCUGUGACCCUGAGUUCCUCCUGACCCCUGUCCUCCGUUCCAGGGGUGCCUCUUAUUCUCUUUGACUGUGAGAAAAGCAGGGUGUCUUGUCAGAGUGGACACAGAUGGCUUUGGGGAGUGUGUGUGUGUGUGUGUGUGUGUGUGUGUGUAUGUGUGUGUGUCUGCCUGUGAGCGUGUGAAGGGGCAGGGGCUCACCAGCAGAUCAGAGCACAGGAUAGGAGAGCUUCCAGGUGAACUGGGUCAAGUCCCAAGUCAGCCCAGAGGAUGCUUCAACCAGACUCCUGUCGGCCUGCACAGCUGGAGCAGCAGUGGUUGCACUCACUGAGGAGCCCAGAGCCGUGCCAGGAAGGAGUAAGUAAACAGUGGAGGACCACAGGGUUCCCUGGGAGGUGGAAGAAGCCAGGGAUGCUCACUCAGAGCCAGCCUUAGAGUAUGAGAUGAGAGGGAAACGCAAGAGGGGGUGUCGUUGAGUCUGUCUGUCCCUGGCCUCUACCCACUAUUUGAUGCAUAUAUCCAUAUCCCUGUGCCUUGAACCCUGUCAUCUCCAAGCCACGGCCAGAGGCUAGAAAUCCCAAAUAGAGCAACCAAAAGUGAGCACAAGGACCAGUGUAGCCAAAAGCAUGCCCUGUGGUAUAUGGAUGGUGUAUGUCCAAUGUCCCAAAGCAAGCCUGGACACCAGUGGCCAUGUCAGGGAGAUGGGAGGGCAUCCUAGGUUCAUAGACUCACAGGGGAGGCAGGAAGUGCAGGCAGCAAGGGUUUAGACAAGAUGCAAAUCCUGCUUCUACUUACAGGUACUCACUUGGUGCACCCUGGAAAGCUGUGGAACACACAAGCCCCGGCCUCAGACAACAGAGAUGGCGAGCGUGUGCUGAUGCUGCUGACUCCUGGAUGCCACGGAAUUGUUUGUAAGGUAAAAAUCCUCCAGCUGCUCCUGUGAGGAGUUCUACCAGGUCUGGGUGACAUCGCAGGUAUCCCGUGCAGGUGGCUUUCUCCAUGGAUGUAGAAGCUUGGCCCUAGGACCUGGAUAAAGAAACACUGAGAUGCUGAUGUGGCUUCCACAGCUACCUUGGGUGCCUCACUCUUCAUCUGUGCUCCCGCAUGGAGUUUUUCCUUUGGUAAAAUAAGUAAAUCACCUGUCCUUUCUGAAGAGGUGUCUGGAGUUCCAGAAGACAAAACUGGGGAAAGAAGGCCCCAAGAAUGCACACUAUCUCUCCUCCCUCUCCAGGUCUUUGUUCUGCAAAAAUCUGUAUCAUUUCACCUUCCAGUGUAACUAUUGACAUGGCACCAUGCUCUCCAACUGGUGGGACAGAGUCCAAAGUGUUGUGGAUGUGAAGGCUUUCUUUCUGUGGCCAUCCCUGCUCACUCAUUCUGCCAUCUCUUCAUCAAAUACCCCUUAUAGAUGAAUUUCAAAGCAACCAUGGUUUUCCAUGUUGGCCUCAUCAUCCUUUCCUUCAGCUUCCACCAGAAGACAUCCCCCCAAAGGACACUGGAAGAGGCUGACUUAAAGAGUAGGACCAGGGACUAAGAUGGAUGGAGCUGUUCCCAUGGAGACCUGGGCAGAGGACAGCAUAGCUCUCAGCAGAACCCUCCAGAGCUGCGGUUCAUCCAGUGAAAGAGGAGAAUCCCUUCCUUCUAGAGUUCAGGAGGAAUGAAGUGGACUCAGGCUUCAUAUCCACCGCUCAUGUGGCUUUAUAACUGUGCACCACCUGCCUCUGCUAUAUAGUCCUUUAAUGGAAAGGACUGCCUUCUUUUUGGUAGCCACUGUACUUGGCACCCACUUCAUCUCAACAAAUGCGUGUCUGAGGCUUGGAUUCUGCAACUGGUGGUCAUGGUUACCGGUAAAGAACAGACUUGGGGGUAGACAAAGUCAAGGAUGGCUUGCUAUUUGACUUGCAGUCAGAAACUUACUUGAUUUUCAAUGUGACUGUGAACAGUUACCUCCUACCCCACAUAGCUUUUGGCUUACCACUCUCCGCACACGUGUCUCUGUAGUUGUAUGAUUCUAUAGUAUGAUAUUAGGGCAAGGGAAAGGGACAUAUGCAUGGAUCAGAAUUUUUGUCUGUCAACAUGUAGACACGUAGAUAUUUCUGCUUUGUUCAACUGUCUCUUCUAUGAACAUUAGCAAAUAAAAUUAUCUAAGAUC